rnacentral:snRNA from 1 species
CUCCGGAUGUGCUGACCCCUGCGAUUUCCCCAAAUGUGGGAAACUCGGCUGCAUAAUUUGUGGUAAUGGGGGACUGCGUUCGCGCUUUCCCCUG